CAAUCAAUUGUCCCUUAAUUGAGGAAUGGUAUGAAUGGCUGUACGUGAGAUAAGCUGUCUCUAUUAUAAUAGCAUGAAAUUUUCCUUUAAGUGAAAAGACUUAGAUUUUUUUAAAAGACGAGAAGACCCUAUCGAACUUAAUAGUUUUUAAAAAUAAUAAUUUAAAAAGAAGUUUUACUGGGGCAGUAAGAAGAAAAAAAUAAUUCUUCCUUAGAAAAAAGAUCCCUUAUUAAGGACAAAAGAAAAAGUUACCGUAGGGAUAACAGCGUUAUCGUUUUUAAGAGAACUAAUCGAAGAAACGGUUUGCGACCUCGAUGUUGGAUUUAAAUUUCUUCCUUGGCGCAGUAGUUUGGAAAGUAGGUCUGUUCGCCCUU
rnacentral:rRNA from 1 species